AUUGAACGCUGGCGGCAUGCUUUACACAUGCAAGUCGAACGGCAGCGCGGGCUUCGGCCUGGCGGCGAGUGGCGAACGGGUGAGUAAUACAUCGGAACGUGCCCAGUAGUGGGGGAUAGCUCGGCGAAAGCCGGAUUAAUACCGCAUACGACCUGAGGGUGAAAGCGGGGGAUCUUCGGACCUCGCGCUAUUGGAGCGGCCGAUGGCAGAUUAGCUAGUUGGUGGGGUAAAGGCCUACCAAGGCGACGAUCUGUAGCUGGUCUGAGAGGACGACCAGCCACACUGGGACUGAGACACGGCCCAGACUCCUACGGGAGGCAGCAGUGGGGAAUUUUGGACAAUGGGCGAAAGCCUGAUCCAGCAAUGCCGCGUGUGUGAUGAAGGCCUUCGGGUUGUAAAGCACUUUUGGCGGGAACGAAAAGGACUGUGCCAAUACCACGGUUCGAUGACGGUACCCGCAGAAUAAGCACCGGCUAACUACGG
rnacentral:rRNA from 1 species